GCUCACUUCAGCGGAACGUAUACUGAAAUCGGAAUGAUACAGAGAUUAGCAUGGCCCCUGCCUAAGGAUGACAUGCGAAUUUGUGAAGAGUUCCAUCUUUUU